rnacentral:misc_RNA from 1 species
GAUCAACAUGGCUUGCCAUGGUACAAGAAACAUCAUGAGCCAUACUUUCAAAUUGUCAAAAACAACAUUCUCCAGUAAAUUACUGACUUCUGUCGCUCCCUAUCAAUUUUAUUCCUCGCUACAUCAUUCACAAGUCAUACCUAAAUUACAGCAGGCAGACAACCAGAUUAUUACAGCACCUAUUUGCAAUACAAUGGCAACUUUAAUGCCCUUUCUAUCUCAUGCUAUUGCAUUAUUAUGGUUUUUAUGGCAAUAAUACAUUAAUGAAAUCCUGAUCAAUGAUUGAUUCUCCCAUACCAUCGAUGAAAUGUCCAGAGAUAAGGUGAUGGUAUGAUUACUCCCCCUUCUCCAAGAAACGGACCUGAUGAUUGACAAUUUGAACAUCUUUCAGAAGGUUUUAUGGAACCCCUUUUCUCCCUUACGCAGGAUAGUAGAUGGGUUCGUGAAGACGGUGUUUCAUUCUUGAGAUUAAGCAGAAGAUCUUCUGAUGUUGUCAUGCUCUUCAGGUACAUUCCUUGCAUCAACAAAUUCUGUCCCCUCAUCAGCACGUUCCAAUCUUCUUUCCUCUUCCUCAGCACUGCUAUGAAGAGUCCUGGGGUCUUCAUUCCUUGGCUCAGAAAGUCGGGUAGAUUGUGAUUCACCACAAGAAUCUGCUGGCCUUGAUUGAACAGAUGUUUCAUCACCAUGACUUGCCACAGAAGAAUCCUGACCAGUUUCUGCUUGACCAUUAUUAGGUAAUUCACUUGGAACUUUAGCAGAUGCAAUGAGGGAAAGGCGGCAGAGAGGGCAGGUACUGUGAUUGGCAAGCCAGCGGUCAAUGCACUCCAUGUGAAAAGUGUGGCCACAUGCAGGUAUCUGUUGAAGCCUAUCCUCUGCUUGGUAGUCCCCUAAGCAUACGGGGCAUUGUGUGUCUUUGACAGAGAAGCUCUCCUUAUACACAAUAAUGGGUAACAUCUCUCUCAUCUCUUUCUUCAAGCCCAAUUCAGCUCUAAAGAUAUCAUUGCUGUCUUGUAAAUUAGCUCGCAUUCGAAGAGAGGCCCAAUCAACACUUCUAUGGCGAAGAUAGAACAAGUAGAACAAGAAGAAGAGAAUGAAGGUGAAGAAAAUUGGCACAGAGAAGAUGAAGGUUUGAUAUAGCUUCAGUUCAGUUGAAGCUACAGAACAAGAAGAAGACAAUGUUGAGCAACAAUUAGGAGACUCUUGUUUGGAAUGAGACAUCACCAAUAA